CCUACGGGUGGCAGCAGUGAGGAAUAUUGGUCAAUGGACGAGAGUCUGAACCAGCCAAGUAGCGUGAAGGAUGACUGCCCUAUGGGUUGUAAACUUCUUUUAUAUGGGAAUAAAAUGUUCCACGUGUGGGAUUUUGUAUGUACCAUAUGAAUAAGGAUCGGCUAACUCCGUGCCAGCAGCCGCGGUAAUACGGAGGAUCCGAGCGUUAGCCGGCUUUAUUGGGUUUAAAGGGAGCGUAGGUGGAUUGUUAAGUCAGUUGUGAAAGUUUGCGGCUCAACCGUAAAAUUGCAGUUGAAACUGGCAGUCUUGAGUACAGUAGAGGUGGGCGGAAUUCGUGGUGUAGCGGUGAAAUGCUUAGAUAUCACGAAGAACUCCGAUUGCGAAGGCAGUUCACUGGACUGCAACUGACACUGAGGCUCGAAAGUGUGGGUAUCAAACAGGAUUAGAUACCCUUGUAGUC
rnacentral:rRNA from 1 species